GGCGUGCGGUGGCGGGGAGAGGUCGGGGUGUCCUUGGAAGAGGGGAAAGGUUGUGGGAGGCUUUCUGGGCUUGGGAAUGGAUGCUUCUAGGGCGCCGAGAGAGCCCUGUUUUCCCUUUAGAAGCCAAAGGCUACAAUGGUUGGGAUGUAGUUUUAGUCCUAAAGGCUUAUCUCGCCAUGGUGGUUGUCAUCCCAAUGACAAGAGAUAAAUUUCAGUGUUUAAGGGCUAAGGGCGCAUGAUGCAGCCACUUGCUGAAACUAAGCAGGCCUUGGUGUGAUCAGUGCCUGGGUAGGAGGUCUAAUGUAUCCCCUUCUGGGGUGGGGCCUUAGCUCAGUGGUCGAGCAUCUGCCUUGCAUGCAGGAGGUUCCAGGUUUCCAUCCCUCCCUGGCAUCUCGAGGAAGGGUUGGGAGAGACUCCUGUCUGUAAACUUGGAAAAGUUGCCACCAAUAAGUAAUUAAAAUACAAUUACAAUGGUGGUCUGAUGGUAUAAGGCAGCCCCCUAUAUUUCAUUUGCAAAUGUUCUGUGGCUGUUAAUUAUGGUGGUGAUGUGUCGUCUUAUUCUUAUUUAAAACAUUUAUACCCCGUUCCUCCAGUACACUACUGCUCAGGGUGGCUCACAACAAUAAGAUAGACACAGAUACAAGAAAAGUAAUAGAAUUAACUUUUUUUUAAAAAAGUCAGAUUAAAAACCAUAAUUAUUAGGUUCAAAUUAAAACUGAAAAUUAUAAAAAGCUAAAGAACCUACCAGAUAUAACAAAAUAAUAAUGGAGCUUUUAAAAGCCUCCUUAAAAAGAUGUAUUUUAAGAUUUUUUUUAAAAAACACGGAGGGAGCAUGGCGAAGCUCUAAGUUCAAAGUCUUGAACUUUUUAUGAUCAGAACACCUGGCAACUGGUUGGCCCCUAUGAGGAGGAGGAUGCUGGGGUCCUUUGAUCUGACCCAGAAAGCUGCCUCUUGUGUUGAAAUCUGACUAAACUACUGUGAAAAAAAGAGAAUGGGAACAUAAAGGGUGCUUUGGAAGACGGAAAUGCUGGCCAAUACUUGUAUUUAUUGCUAGACUAGCUGCUCUUAGCACUUUUGAGCCAACCUGUCAUGGUGGCUAGAAGAAUUGCUAAAAGGGUGGGGUAAAACAUUGCUGCCUUGAGCAAUCCUUUGUAUUGCUGUGCUGUUGGCUGUCUUUUUUGUUCACUAUUAAAAUGCCUAGCCUGUGGAUGGGUUGGGGAAGACUGAGUUUCUGUAUUAGGUUUUUGUGUGCAUGCAGUGCAUCUCUAUAGAAACGUAUAAUACAUGCACACCCAGUGGGAUCCUGUGAUUGAGAGGCAUACCAUAUUAGUGGUACUAAAAGUAAAAGACACAUUACAGUAGCAUCCCGAGUGCACUGUUUCCCCUACUCCAGAGAAGGAAACGUAUUAAAAGUAUUGUGUUUAAUACUGUUUGUCUUCCAAGAGAUUCAGAGCCGAGUACAUGGGGCUACUUCAUGGUGCUUAACAACAAUUUUGUGUGCAGUAGGUUAGGCUGAGACAUUGACUUCUCAAAAACAAGCAAACUUCAAGAUUUCCCCCCCGAGAUUCCUAAGGCCUGUACUAACUGCAGUGCUGUGCGAGCAACUGGUGUGCAUUCCAGAGUCCAGGAGCAGCUACAGAGAAGGCCCAGUCCAGAGUCGCUGCCAAGCAAGCUGGCUGCAGCCAGAGACAGACCUCUUCUGAUGACCUUAAAGUGCAGUGGGGAUCAUUUGAAGAUGGUGCUCUACCAGGUAACCUGGUCCUAGGCCAUUUAAGACUUUAAAGGUAAUGACAGCACUUUGUAUUUUCCAUGGGAACAUACUGGCAGCCAGUGCAGCUGUUUUGCUGCACGUAUUGGCAGCCAGUGCACCUUUUGCAAUUCUACAUCAGUAUACUAAGAGUGCAACUUUAAUAUCAGACAUAGUUGUGUAUAUUACAGAAGUUUACAUCCUGAAAGGACACAGCCACUGCGGGGAGGGAUGCACACGAGUAAAAUGUCUUGAGGUGAGCUUUUGAACAAAUAACUGCAACAGAUCAAUAAACCUCACAGCUACCAUCAGCAUGCCUGCAAAUCUCACUCUUUUACCAAUUCUAGCCACCAUGACCGGCAUAAUAGGGUAUCUCCAAGAAACCCCAGAGACCAAUCUGGCUGCUGCAUUUUGAACUAACUGAAUUUUCUGAAUGGCAUGCAAAGGUAGCCCUACGUACAGCACAUUGCAGUAGUUAAGCCAAGAGGCUACCAGUGAGUGCACCACAGUUCUGAGAUCAUUAUCUACAAGGAAGCGACGUGGCUGUCGUAUCAACCUAAGCUGAUAGACCGUGCUCCUGGACAUAGCCUGCACCUGAGACACCAGGGUGAAGUCUGGGUCCAGAAACACUCCCAAACUACAUACCUCUUCCUUUUGGAGGGAGUGCAACCCCAUCCAGCAAGUUCUAUCGCAUCCCUUGAUGACCCCUCACCAAGAGUACCUACAUCUUGUUUGAAUUCAGCUUCAAUUUAUUAUCCCUCAUGCAUCUUAUUAUUGCCAGAAGCCAGGCAUUUAGGGGAACUAUGCCAUUUAUUUAUUUAUUUAUUUAUUUAUUUAUUUAUUUAUUUAUUCGAUUUCUAUACCGCCCUUCCAAAAAGGGCUCAGAGCAGUUUACACAGAGAAAUAAUAAAUAAAUAAGAUGGCUCCCUGUCCCCAAAGAGCUCACAUUCUUAAAAAAAACACCACAAGAUAGGCAUCAGCAACAGUCACUGAAGGUACUGUGCUGGGGUUGGAUAGGGCCAUCAUUUCCUGAUGACAUGGAGAAAUAGAUCUGGGUGUCAUCAGCAUAUUGAUAACACCCUGCUCCAAAUCCCCUGAUGACCUCACCCAGUGGUUUCAUGUAGAUGUUAAAAAGCAUUGGGGUUAGGAUGGAGCCUUGAAGGUUGAUCUUGUUUGAGGGCCAAACUAAAUAUUAUACAGGAGUUCCAAGAUAGGCAUUCCCCAGGUUUUCUCCCCAGCUGUGUGCAUAUGGCAGGGGGUUAGCUCUUCAGGGCUUGACAUACUCCCUGUCUUAAAUUGUGCCCCCAAUAGCUGCCAUUAGCCACAAAGGGGAAGACCUACAGGUAUUUAAACCAGUAUGUUUUGCCCUCAACAUCUAAUAGUGGAUAGGUAUAUGUGCAUGGAGUUGAUGUGUAGGCAAAGAGUUAAAACCCCUGCACAAUUGUUUUUAAAGAGUCUUAUUUUUAAAGUGCCUACUCAAGGCUGCUUUUCAGAGCUGCAAAAGGGCUUAUAACAGUAUGAAAUUAUAGUAUCAUAAAAUAAGCAACAGAAGUAGUCCCAGUCAGGGAGUACAAACUGAAAGCCUUUGUAAAAAAGCACACUCUUUUGAUGGAGAGAAUUCCAAAGACUGGGUCUCACAGCCAAGUACACCUUGUCUCAUGUGACCACCAGCUGUACUUCUGAUGAAGUAAGAACAUAGAGGUUGCACCCUGUUUAUGGAAUAGCCUCCCUAGUGAGGUUCACCUGGCUUCAUCACGUUGUUUUUAGAUGCCAGGUGAAGACCUCUUUGUUUAUUUGGGCUUUUUAAAUUUUAAAUUUUUGAACUGAUUUUAACUGAUUUUUAAAAAAUGUCUCUUAAAUUGUUUUGUAUUGUAUUUUCUCCCCCUUCCUCCCCCCACUAUUAUGAUCUAAUGUGUUGUGUGUGUUUAUCUUAUCUUAUGUCUUAAUGUUGUGUCGUAAGCCACUCAGAGAACAAUUCGUUAUGGGGCAGCUAACAAAGUUUAUUAUUAUUAUUUAGAGAAGAUCUUCCCACCAGAUCUCGAAGAGUAGGCAGAAUCCUACUGGGAGCAGACAUGCUUCAAGUGCUGUCUACUGAUUAUUAUAUAUACUAGUUAAUUGUCUGACUAAUGGUGAAUCCAAUUAUAUUUUUGCUAAAACACAGCAAGGAUGGCUUUUGAGAAUCUUGAAAGAAGAAACAAAUAAAAGAUACUGGAACUAAUAAAAGCUUACUGCUUAUGUGUUUGAUUUAAGCAAAAUGGGGAAUAGUGGUAUUCUCUAGAAGAGUAGUGCACCAAACAGAUAUCAAAAAGGACAUACAUUGAAGCCCUCAAGUAUUGUGUGGGGUCAGGUGUAGCUUUUAACUGACCAUAAUCAGUGUUGCUUGCCUGAGAUUGUUAGACAUCAGAUUGACAUAGGAAAGAGGCAGCUAGUGCAUCUGCAUAGCCUCCAUGGAAGCGGGCUUUUUAAGAGUCCCAAAUCUUCUUGUUGUAAGGAGUUGUUGCUCCUUAAAGAGGGGCCAAUUUUAUAUGCAGUUAAGCCCUUCUUUGGAUUUAUUUCACGGAUAAUCAGCUUCCAGCCCUCAUUUAAGAAAGUGAAGUACUACUGUUCUCCAUUUAUGGAUGUGUAGACUUUGGAAGUAUGAAAAGCUGCUAAAAUGAGUUAAGACAUUGGUUUCUGAAUCAGAGUUUCUCUAGAAAUAUCUAACAUGGCCUGCAUUUUUUACUGCAACCUAACCUCCUGUUCGUAUAUGCAUGUCAUGCAGUAUGUAGCUCAUUUGUAGAGCAUCUGCUUUGCAGGGGGUAAACCUGUGUGCAGCAUCCUAAGCUCCUCACAGAAAGAGUUAGAUAGAAAUGUGGGCUGCGGAUGUGCAGCAGUACAUUGGCUCAGGAAGGAUUGGGGUUUGCAGCAGCUUCAAGCCAUCCCUGAAGCAGUGGCCUGCAGCUGAGCAAGCAUAGAGUGGGAAGAGGGAGAGAUUUUUGCUUUUCCUCUCCCUCCAGAAGCCUAUUCCACUUGCAUAAAUAUGUUCCUGAGGGUCAUGCCACCCUCAGGAUAUAUUUUUAUGCAAGUGGAGAGGGCUUUUGAUGGGAGAGAAGAGAAUCAUCCUGCACUCACUUGCCUACACAAUAGGCUCCCUGCAGUCACCUUUAAACUGAGGUACUGCUGUGCAUCAUGUCGGCCAUGAUAAGAUAGACUUGUAUUUUGGGUGAGUUCUUGUUGAAAUACUUGAUAAUUAUGUUAAUAAUGGCUGACAUCUAGGUCAACACUACUCUAGUGCUAUGGGGAAGGGGUGACUUUUGCCAACCUCCCUUUCCCUCUGAAGCUUGUUGUGCCUCAUAUAUAUAUAUAUAUAUAUCCUGUGGGUUGUGUGGCCUAUUUCCAGGAAGCACUGUGGAUUUUAGAGGAAGGAGGAGAUCAGUGAAAAUCACCCCUCCCAUAGUGCCAGCACAGCUGUAGUAUAUUAUUUUAUAUAUUAAAAUCUAUAAGAUAGAUCAGGGGCUCCAAUCUUGGGACCCCAGAUAUAGUUGGACUACAACUCCCAUCAUCCCUAGCCUCAGUGGAAGUUGUAGUUCAACAACAUCUGAGGGCCAAAGGUUGGGAACGCCUGAGUUUAGUCAUGACCUCUUAUCCAUCCAUGUUGAAAUACUUGACCUAAUAAUAGUAAUUCUCUUGAAUCUAGAUGUAACAAGGUAUAUUUUAUUCAACAGGCAAAGCGUUUUCUGAGGUAGUCAAGGCAGUUAUAUGCAUCUGAAGGCUUGUUCAUUUUUUGUUUAAAUCAAACAAAUGAUAUUGAAAAACUACUCAUUAUUAUACACUUCUCGUAGCUUUACAUUACUAGUAUUUCUGAUUAGUAUGUGUGUGAUAUACAUACAUACAACUGUUUGGUAAUGAGCUCUUGUAAUAAUGCAGAGUAUUUUUCAGAAAACUGAACAUUCUAUGGCCGUUUAAAGGGUAGAAAGGAGAGUUUGUCACUUGCAAUACAAUGCAACUCCCAAUAUUCCUUCUGAUGUUUCUAUACCGUUGAUCUAAUGUACGAGCUGGAAUGUAAAUGUAAUACCAUGAUCUUGUGAUAGAGCAUCAAGUGUGCUGUCUGCAGUUGACUUGUAAUGCUGGAAAAAUUUUUUAAUAGAAUCUCAAUAAACAGAUAAGCAAUUGGA